CUACGGGAGGCAGCAGUGGGGAAUAUUGGACAAUGGGCGCAAGCCUGAUCCAGCCAUGCCGCGUGAGUGAUGAAGGCCUUAGGGUUGUAAAGCUCUUUUGUCCGGGAAGAUAAUGACUGUACCGGAAUAAUAAGCCCCGGCUAACUUCGUGCCAGCAGCCGCGGUAAUACGAAGGGGGCUAGCGUUGCUCGGAAUCACUGGGCGUAAAAGGCGCGUAGGCGGACUUUUAAGUCGGAGGUGAAAGCCCAGGGCUCAACCCUGGAAUUGCCUUCGAUACUGGGAGUCUUGAGUUCGGAAGAGGUUGGUGGAACUGCGAGUGUAGAGGUGAAAUUCGUAGAUAUUCGCAAGAACACCGGUGGCGAAGGCGGCCAACUGGUCCGAAACUGACGCUGAGGCGCGAAAGCGUGGGGAGCAAACAGGAUUAGAUACCCUUGUAGUCC
rnacentral:rRNA from 1 species